GCCUGUCUAGCUCAGUUGGUAGAGCGCAAGGCUCUAAAACUUCUGGUCGUGUGUUCGAGACCACGGUGGUUG
rnacentral:tRNA from 1 species